UACGUAGGGUGCGAGCGUUGUCCGGAAUUCUUGGGCGUAAAGGGCUCGUAGGCGGUUUGUCGCGUCGGGAGUGAAAACCCAGGGCUUAACCCUGGGCUGGCUUCCGAUACGGGCAGACUAGAGGUAUGCAGGGGAGAACGGAAUUCCUGGUGUAGCGGUGAAAUGCGCAGAUAUCAGGAGGAACACCGGUGGCGAAGGCGGUUCUCUGGGCAUUACCUGACGCUGAGGAGCGAAAGUGUGGGGAGCGAACAGG
rnacentral:rRNA from 1 species